rnacentral:rRNA from 1 species
GACGAACGCUGGCGGCGUGCUUAACACAUGCAAGUCGAGCGGUAAGGCCCUUUCGGGGGUACACGAGCGGCGAACGGGUGAGUAACACGUGGGUGACCUGCCCUCAGCUCUGGGAUAAGCCUGGGAAACCGGGUCUAAUACCGGAUAUGACUCCAUGACGCAUGUUGUGGGGUGGAAAGCCUUGUGCGGCUGAGGAUGGGCCCGCGGCCUAUCAGCUUGUUGGUGGGGUGAUGGCCUACCAAGGCGACGACGGGUAGCCGGCCUGAGAGGGCGACCGGCCACACUGGGACUGAGACACGGCCCAGACUCCUACGGGAGGCAGCAGUGGGGAAUCUUGUGCAAUGGGCGAAAGCCUGACGCAGCGACGCCGCGUGAGGGAUGACGGCCU